CAGUGCUGGAAUUACAUCAGGGAUGAACUUGUCCCUGUGGGCUUCCCCAGCUCACAGUCCUGAAGCAUCACCUGCAGCAGUUACCAGGAUCGUGGUGCAACACCGCUGCCCUCGUAUUUAAGCAAAAAGCCCCUCCGCUGAGCUCUCUCUUUACCUUCCCAUUCACUAGUGGUUGAAACAGACAUUUGAUUUUUCUACUGUGUGCCUGGAGCUAUUUUUAGCAGCUAAUAGCUGACACCCUAGGGAGCAUGAUGUCACCAGAACUCGCACUUACAGAGCUAUCAAGGCCUGGCCGGGCACAGCAGCUGCACCCAGUGAGCUGCUCAGGCAAGGGGAGAGGCUGUGACACCACCAGGGCGGAGUUCAGAAGGCCAAACAGAGGAGUUCUAGCCAGAUCCCAAAGGAAAGAUUUUUCCUCCUUUUGUAAGUGAUUCUGCAGGUCUCAGCUGUUGAACUCCGAUGUGUGUAUCCGCUGGGGCAGAGUCCUGUCACAUUACAAGAUGGCUCCCACAAGGGAAAAGCACCAUCAGGACAUCCAAGGCCUUUGGACUUCAGCAGCUGUCAGAGCUGUAGCUGCUGCACCCUGUGCCCAGCUUCAGCAACAGAAGUGAAAGAAACAACUACAAUUCACCACUCCGCCGUUUCCAGCAACAGACAAGGCAUUAAAAGGCUCAAAUCACCCAACAGCACUUACGGGCAUGAGCUAAGAUUUAAGGAGACUCAAAUUCUCAGCUGUACUACCAGCUUGCUGGAUGAGCUGUUACAAAGUAUUUUCCCAAGCAACUUGCUUUUGACCUGGCACAUGAGACUGACUCACAUGAAUGAGCUGAGCAGCACAAUGGGGACAAAUCCAGUUUGAAAGGAAAGGAGACGACACUGGUGCAGAACUGCAGAGAACAUGGCUUCUGAAUGAGUCUGAGGAGGAGGCACUAUCACAGACUCUUGCAAACAUUUCAAGACACUGUGCAUCAGCCAUGUUGUCAAGUCUAACAGAAACCCAGCAAACAUCAUUUAUAUCAAGGCCUUUGUAGAGCUAUGUCAUUAAAACAUCAGGAAGGUUGAAGGAUGACUUUUCUUAAGUUGAUAUGAUUCUGAACAAUACAUCGAGUAUCAAGAUAAAAGAUUUUUUCUGUU
ensembl:lncRNA